rnacentral:lncRNA from 1 species
CAUAUAUAUAUAUAUAUAUAUAUAUAUUUACAUAUAUACCAUUUUUCAGAUUUUAAUACAUUAUAAACUAGUGAUAGUUUCCAUUGGAUUAUACGCAAUCAUUGUAUUGUAUAUGCUUAUAUGUGCCUUCUCUGGAUUUACUUACUGUUGCUCAAAGUUACAACUUGGACUUGUUUUUACACUAGAUAAAGAAGAUACAUUUCUUCAUUCCCUACUUUUGAACGUGUGUUUAUUUUGUCUCAUUUCUACUGGCACUGGAUUGUUCACUUCGAAAAUGUUUUAUAAUUAUACAAACAAAUCCCACGCAUUAAGUUUUUACAAUAUGUGUCUGAAGAAGUUUAAUUAUAUUGGCCAAAUAUACGAAAAUAACGGUUUUUCAUAUUUAACCAUAGCAUUGAGCUUGUUAACACUCAUUAUAUACAUACUGCCAAGGAAAAGUCAUUGUUUAUAUUUUUCUGAACACGCUAAAAUUUUAAAAAGCAUCGAGCUCGAAGAAGAAAAAGAAGAAGAAAAAGAAGAAGAACAACGACAGCCAAAGAAAAUAAAAACAGAAAAAGAACAGAAAAUUGAUUAUGACUACUUAGAGAAUAAUAUUGGUCUGAAUAAUAUAAAUACUAAUACAUCACCAUUUAAAAACAACAACUGA